GAUGAACGCUAGCUACAGGCUUAACACAUGCAAGUCGAGGGGCAGCAGGAUUUAGCAAUAGAUUGCUGGCGACCGGCGCACGGGUGAGUAACACGUAUCCAACCUGCCGAUAACUCGGGGAUAGCCUUUCGAAAGAAAGAUUAAUACCCGAUAGUAUAAUGAAACCGCAUGGUUUUGUUAUUAAAGAAUUUCGGUUAUCGAUGGGGAUGCGUUCCAUUAGGCAGUUGGUGAGGUAACGGCUCACCAAACCUUCGAUGGAUAGGGGUUCUGAGAGGAAGGUCCCCCACAUUGGAACUGAGACACGGUCCAAACUCCUACGGGAGGCAGCAGUGAGGAAUAUUGGUCAAUGGGCGCGAGCCUGAACCAGCCAAGUAGCGUGAAGGAUGACUGCCCUAUGGGUUGUAAACUUCUUUUAUAUGGGAAUAAAGUUUUCCACGUGUGGAAUUUUGUAUGUACCAUAUGAAUAAGGAUCAGCUAACUCCGUGCCAGCAGCCGCGGUAAUACGGAGGA
rnacentral:rRNA from 1 species